AAUCCUACUCUUGACCGACCAACUAGAGAUCCUGGAAGGUACGAGUACAUUUGGAAUCACGGGCUUAUUUCAGACACUACAUACGAAAAUAUGCGGAACUUUUGCACUGUGGAUGGAGAUCCUGAAGGCUGCCAUAAGGCAUGGAUUGAAGCAAACACAAAUGAAAUUGGAGAUGUAAAUGGCUAUAACAUAUAUGUGAGACCAUGCGGGAAUAACACCGCACAGGAUUUGAUGUAUAGAAAUGGGGAGGAUUUCUGCCUGGAGACCGACCCUGUGAAGUACAUGAAAAGGAAAGAGGUUCAAGAGUCCUUCCACGUCGACACCUCCUAUAUUCCACUGAACUACACUCUCUGCAGGUCUUGUUCAUGAGACAAGAACUUUGCUCAAAUCAAGGGCAUGCGAAACUUCUGGAGAUUAAUCUUCUGAUUUGGCUUAUACAGUUAAUGGAAUGUCCAUAUCAGAUACGUACAGCAAGAGUGAUACAAAAUCAUCGGUCCUACCAAUCCUUAAAGAACUCAUAGAGACUCACUUGCGGAUCUGGAUAUAUAGUGGGACAACAGAUGCAACCGUUCCGUUGUCAACAACCUGACGCAACGUUGCGGCACUAAAGUUGAAGGUACAGAAGAAAUGGUACCCCUGGAACCAUAAUGAUCAGGUAAGCGCCAUUGAAAUCAGUCAAAGGAAAAGCUUUCAUACAAUCCAUUCACGAUUCACCAAAACUAGGCUCUUUGGUUGCCCAGCUUGCAGGUUGGAUCGAGGAAUAUGAAGGAUCGACUUGCGUUGCUGUGAUGGGCACGGGACAUGAAGUGCCGAUGUAUCUCCCCCCCAGGCGCGUGCUAUUUUUAAGAGCUUCUUGUCCAAUGCACCAAUGCCGAAGGCACCUUCUAAACAGUGAGAAACUCAGGAUGAAAUCGCUAUGAGGGAUGAUUUAUGUUCAUUAUUAGAUAUAAUGAAAGGUUGAUGUCAAUCUUUUGUAUUCAACGCAAAACAAUUGGAGCGAUUUCAGAAUACUAGAAGCCUGGGAAUUCAUA